rnacentral:lncRNA from 1 species
AUGACCUUGACGUCGUCCAAGGGCCGGUCUUGGGCGUUGGUCUCCACCAUGGCCAGGCGCCCCAACACCCCCAUGCCCUGGCAGACCCUCCCGAAGAUGCUGUGCUUCCCGUCCAACCACUGCGCGGGGCCCAACGUCAAGAAGAACUGGCUCCCGUUGGUGUCCGGUCCCGCGUUGGCCAUGGCCAAGAUGCCAGCACCUGGGAUGGAUGGACAGAUGGACAUCUUCAAGGUGGGGGUUGCUUUGGGGGGGUCUUUUUUUUUUUGGAAAGGGUACGGUGGGAGAUGGGCCACCUCAUGGAUUAAGGGUCUGGUAUCAUGGGGGACAUGGCAGCCCAUGGUCAAGGUCCUGGAGGUCAUGGCACCCCCUAGGUGGGGUUCCUGGGGGACAUUCCACCCCAUGGCCAAGGUCCUGGGACACAUGGCACCCCAUGGAUGGGGUCUUGAGGGACAUGUCAACCCAUGGUCAAGGUCCUGGGAGACAUGGCACCCUAUGGAUGAGGUCUUGAGGGCCAUGUCAACCCAUGGCCAAGGUUCUGGCAUCACGGGGGACAUCCCACCCCAUGGCCAAGGUCCUGGCAUCAUGGAGGACAGGACACCCCAUGGCCAAGGUCUUGGCAUCAUGGAGGACACGUCAACCCAUGGUCAAGUGAGGUCCCAUGGAGCAUCAUGGGGACAUUCCACCCCAUGGCCAAGGUCCUGGGGGUCAUACCACCCCAUGGAUGGGGUCUUAGGGGACAUGGGAGACAUCCCACCCCAUGGCCAAGGUGGUGGCAUCAUGGAGGACAUGUCAACCCAUGGCCAAGUGAGGUCCCAUGGGGCAUCAUGGGGACAUUUCACCCCAUGGCCAAGAUCCUGGGGGUCAUACCACCCCAUGGAUGGGGUCUUAGGGGACAUGGGAGACAUCCCACCCCAUGGCCAAGGUGGUGGCAUCAUGGAGGACACGUCACCCCAUGGCCAAGUGAGGUCCCAUGGGGCAUCAUGGAGACAUUCCACCCCACGGCCAACAUCCUGGAGGCCAUACCACCUCUGGGGUGGGGGUUCCUGGGGGGCAGGAUGGAGGUGCCACCCCCAACGUUCUUCUCCCCUCCCGGUGGUGGCCUCUACUCACCGGUGAACUUCAGCUCGGGGUGCAGCUCGUCCUCAAACUGCUUCCCGUAGAUGGAGGCACCUCCACGACCUGUGGGGAGGUCGGGGGGGGGUCAGGGAGAUGGUGGGAGGGGAUAUGUUGCGGGGGGGGGGACAUCGGAAGGCUGGGGGGGGGCCCACCGGGGCCGGGGGGGGCUCCUCCUU